UGUGAGGACUGCUGCCCUGAGAACGCUGAGUGCAUUCUGGAAUAUUCCAAAUGUGUGCCACUUCCAUACUGAAGAAGUUCCAAGCCCGCAAGAGAGUUCACUCACCAGUGGGCUCCAUCAACUAUCCAGGGCAAUGUCAGUCCGUCUGGAUGGCACUACCUGCUACUUGAUGAUGUCUGAUAGCCAUGGCUGCUGCCUUCAACGUGGUAGCCCUCACAAGUAAACUGAUAUCAAGACUUAACAUAGAUGGUGAUGGUGGCAAGGGUGCCUUCAGAAGGUGCUAUCCAGCAGUCCCAGCCUGGAGCCAGAAGCUGCUAUUGCAAGUCAGAUGGGGGAGGAAAGGUGGUGUAAGCAAGAAGGCAACAGCUGCUGCAGGCAAUGUUGCAAUUAGCAUUAGCGGGGUUUUUUUAAGCAAUUCGGUGAUGACAUCACGUUGGGGGCUACAUGAUCUGCGCUUCAGUCAUUUCAAUGCAUUCCAAUGGACAUCACGUUACACUUUCAACAUAAAGUUUGUAUAUUUACACUUCGAAUUUCAUCACAGCAUUUAUAUCACAGCUAGCCUAUGAUCUACCAAUGGUAAUAACGUUGACUGAUAUCAAUUUAGAGCUGCUGUAACUAGGGAAGCGAGUGCAUUUUGGCUGCUGGUCGAGCUCACCCCGCGACCAGCAGAUGACAUGAUCUAUCUAGCUAUCUAUCUACCUGUCUAUAUAUCU